rnacentral:rRNA from 1 species
GAUGAAUGCUGGCGGCGUGCCUAAUACAUGCAAGUCGAGCGGUAAGGCCCUUCGGGGUACACGAGCGGCGGACGGCUGAGUAACGCGUGGGAACAUGCCCCAAAGUGAGGGAUAACGCACCGAAAGGUGUGCUAAUACCGCAUAUGGUCUUCGGAUUAAAGGAUUUAUCCGCUUUGGGAGUGGCCCGCGUACGAUUAGAUUGUUGGUGAGGUAACGGCUCACCAAGUCGACGAUCGUUAACUGGUCUGAGAGGAUGAUCAGUCAGACUGGAACUGAGACACGGUCCAGACUCCUACGGGAGGCAGCAGUAAGGAAUCUUCCACAAUGGGCGAAAGCCUGAUGGAGCAACGCCGCGUGCAGGAUGAAGGCCUCGGUCGUAAACUGCUUUAUUGAGUGAAGAAUAAUGACGGUAACUACAUGAAUAAGACACCGGCUAACU